CAUGUACUCCCUCCGUCCCAAAAUUCUUGUCUUAGAUUUUUCUAGAUACAUAGAUACAUCCGUAUUUAGACAAAUCUUAGACAAGAAUUUUGGGACGAAGGGAGUAUUUA
rnacentral:pre_miRNA from 1 species